GAGACUUGACCAAUGCAUGUAGAUAAUUUGUUCUAAUUAAAUUUCAAAACAUACAUCAUUGGAUAAACUAGAAAUCUAAAUCAUAACGAUUGCCAUAACAAAGAAGUAAAAAUUACAAACAAACCAUUAUAUUGAUGAACAUCAUCAUCAUCAAUAUCACAAACAUAUAGAAAACAAAAUAAAAGUGCUACGUACUACAUUAAUUGGUGUGAGACAAAUAGUGACAAACAUAACCGAGGAUUAUUAUUAUUAUUAUGUUGAUCUAAUUUGUGUCAUGAGUAUGAAGAAUGAUCUAACACACGUGUCCUUAACUAAGACGUGUCCCCUUUGAGUUCUUCAUCAUCUCCCAUUGCAUUUUUGGAUGGUUUUGCGGUGCCCAUUUCCAUUGAUUCUUCUUGUGUUGUUGUUUUUGUUUUUGCAUUUCCUUUAUUCUUACGAUAUAUGAAAUACAAUAUUAGUUGCAAUGU
rnacentral:lncRNA from 1 species